rnacentral:lncRNA from 1 species
CGCGCUCAUUCAGGAACCCGCGCGCCGCGGCGCAGAUCCCAGGACGCAGCGCGGCUGCGCGCUGCCCAGCUGGGGGUUUUGAGGAAGCUUGAGUGAGCCCAGGGUCACCCGGGUGCGGCACGGACCUUCUGCACCCCGCCUGCGGAGCGAAUCUGGGCUGCAGGCGGGCGCACCUAGGUGGGGUCACCUGCAGCCGCAUACCUGGCGGUGACUUGAAAGGACUUGGCUUCAGCUCCGCGAGUUUGCCAUUGUUAAGCCCUUAAAUCGCCACUCUUCCGAAAGCGGCUCCAGAAUUCCGGGGGCGCUCGGACUUCCCUUCCCCCACACCGCAUGCUUUUGGGGCGCGUAUGGCAGCCCAUGUGCUGCCGCAGCUCCGCCCGGGCCACGCGGCGCCGAUCCUGGGUACCCCCAGAGCUGGGAGAGGACCCGGGCUAACUACAGUCCUGAAAUCCACACAGGACGGCCACGCGUGGGGACACGGGGGGGGGGCCGCAGCUCGCGCCCCAGCAGAGAAUGUCAGUUAGUGUCAGCCACACACGAAACCUAGUUCUCCAGUCGAGGGUCGGGAGGAAGAGACACCCAGCCCCGCUGCGGGCGAGGAGUGCGCUCCAGUUUAAAAAGCAAACUAACAGGAGGCCGGGAAGUUGGCGGCCGUGGUUCCCAAACUGCAGCAGAGUGUCACACAGCCCUCCCUGGCCAGGGGCAGCUUUGGGCGGAUCUCUGUCCCCCUCUGUAGAAGGGUGAGUGAUGGUUUCCCUCGCCAGGCCACAGCCAAGAGUAAUUAAGGUAAUGUGUGUGAGGCAUUUAGCAGAGGGCCUGGCAUAUGUCAGGGCCUGUUCAGUUCAUUCAUGUAUUUGUUCUCAUGCAGAACGGAGGCCAUGUGCUGCAUGCAGUAUGUGGAAUUAAUUAAACAUUUCAUUUUAUAUUCAGAAAGAGGAUUUUAAAAAUGACUUUACGAUGAAUCAGUUCACUUCUCUUCGCUGACUUCCCCUGAGCUGUUUAUGGACAGGAGAUUGACAUCAUAGAAGACACUUUUAAAUUAAAAUGAAAGUUCAGCCACAU